rnacentral:lncRNA from 1 species
AAAAUUUAAAUUCUAUAAUAUUAACAAAAACAAGAAGAGGAUUAUAAUUGGAUUAUUAUUCUCUGACCAUACCUCUAUUUGUGAUAUCUUUAAGUAUUUAUAGUUAUAAAUGAUGAUCAAGGUAAAGACAACAAAUAAAAAUAUUUACUUAAAUCAUUAUUCGUCACAAGAAAUUGGACAAGUAUCAUUUUUUUUAUCAACACAUGGGUUGAUACAUUUUCUUUGUUUGGGUAAAAAGAAAUUAUUUGGUAGUAAAUAAUUUAGGCAAUAUACAACACAAAUACUCAUUAGUCAAUGAUGAUGGAAUUUAUAGACAAUGUAAAACUUGAUCAAAAAGUAACUUGCCCUCCAAAAGUUUACAAAUCCUUGAAAUAAAUUUUAUAUAUAUUAUUAACAAUUAUGAACCAUCCUCCAAAUUCAUCUUAAAAGCUCAACUGUGUCAAUUCUUAAUAUAUAUUUUUAGUUUUUUUUAAUGAAGGAUUUAUAAAACUUAUCAAAUUAGGUAGCACAACAACAACGUGUUCAAUACCUUUCAAACUGAAUUGUUGAUAAUUAUUAUCUUCACAUUUUGAAAGAUUAUUUGGAGAACUCAUAAUGUUCUUCAGUUUUACCAUAAUGAUGACUAUUAUACUUUAUCUUUGUC